UGCAAAGGUUUAUUGCUGAGUUUGCACAUCUAGCUGAGGGGAGUGCAAAUUGUGCCCCAGCCUUGCCAGAUGGAAGCUCCUUGUCCCCAACUGCAGCACAGGCCUUGGCCUGUGGACAUAAGCAAAGAUUUGGUGCUGGAUGAGGAAGGAGGGAGCAGGGAUGUGGGGACAUGGGCCUUUGUCCCUGAUAGUUCAGGCAUGGCUCUCAGCUUCCCCUGCCAGGGAACCCUGAAUGGAGGGGGCAAGAGAAGCUGCUGGUAGGGACAAGAGGGUCACCCAGGUUUGCUUGUAACCCCACCUGAGGUAGACCCCUUUGGGCACAGCCAGGGCCUUUGUCCUAUCCUGAGUCCUCUGGGCUAAUCAAAGGGAGCUGGACUCUGCCCCCAGCCACCCCUCAGGACAGCCCGGCUAUUGGCUACAGCUGGUGUCAACAGUACCCUCCCUUAACAGGCCAUCCUGUUGUCCAGCUAGCCCGGGGUACUGUGUUUGGGUGAGGAAGUGGUGUGUGGAUCUGGUGUCCAAGGACACAGGGAGCAGAUCCUGAUGGAGAAGGCUGGAGGUUGCUCUGAGCCUAGUAUUUGGGGAAGAGUCCUGUUUUUUCUCACUCUGGCACCCAAGGGCCCCCAGGUCUGCCCCCUCCCCACUAAUGUAUUUAUGUGGGGACCGCACAGGCCAGAGCUAACUUGGACUUUGGACCCUUUGGAGGCUGCUGGGAGGGACAGUCACUGUCUCUGGGUAGACUGGUGUCAAACUUGUCACAUGGAGGUGGCAGGAUGAGCAGCUGGCCUGUGUGUGGGAGGGGUAUUCCCUGUCCUUGAUGAAAUGCUGGGAGGGAGAGCUGUUUGUUGAGCCCAGGCCCACCAGGUGAGUCGUGGGCCCCCAGGGGCAGGAGAGCUGUGGAAGAUUGGUCAGCUGGGGACUGCUGAGUCACGCAAUAGGGAGAAGGCACCAAAGGAUGAAGAUGAAGAGGUGACUCUGAUGAGCUUGCAGCAAGCCCUAGCAGGGCAAGCCCCAGCCCCAAGGAUCUGCACCCCGCACCCGGUGGGCCCAGCGUGGGAGAGGCCAGGAGCAGCAGUGGGUACCUGUGCCCAGGAAAAGCACCUCAUAGCGCCCGUCGGCUGCAUCCACCUGGUCCACAGCAACAGUGGUGAGGCGGUAGGGAGCACCUGUGCGGACCACCAGGGGCCGCCGCUGCAGAGGGUACACGGCCUGGUACAUGAGCGGGUGGCUGCGCAUGAAGUUGAUCACCUCAUCAGGAUAGUCCUUGGUGGACUUCAUAGAUGGUGUGAAGGUUCCACCAGGGCACUGUGGACAGGUGGUAAGUGUCAGUCCCAGGCUGCCUGGGCAGUGCAGGCUGGAGCCAUUAGCUUCAGAAGAGGCCGCUGCACUGUCCCCACCACCUCAACCUGCUCCUCUCCCCAAAGCCCCUCUCCAGGUUUCUGCCCUGCACCUGACCUCUACAGGUCCUGCUCCGGCCAAAGUCUCACGUGGUCAAAUGCCACAGCCACCUCCCUGGCCUCAUGUGCCAUGACCUCGUGGCAGCAUUUGGCCAAGCAGACCACUCCCUUCCACGUCCCCUCCCCACCCUGUCAUCUCCUUUCUCUCUGGCUGUUCCUAGGGUCUCACUCGUCUCCCUCCUGCACAGCUGGACUACAGGCCCUGACGUCCUUGUCACACACCAGGCUCACUCUCCUCCUUCCUGAAGCUGUCACCUGAGCCUGGGCUCAGCCUGCCCCCACCAUGGUCAGCUUACAUCUGGCCCAUCCUUCUGACUCCAGGUUACCUCUGGAAGGAAGCCUCCCCUGUCCCCCGCUGAGACCAGCUUCCCCAGCCCAGUCCUGACCACAUGGAGUCAGAGUGCAUUGAUCAGAUCCGCUGCUCUCCUGUUUAGACUCCUGCAUCAGCCCAGUGUCACAUCAAGAUAAAGUGACACACCUCUGUGACCUCUGAGACCCUGCCUGAGGCCUAGCCCUGCCCCUCCCCAGUUCUUUGCCUCCUGUUCCUCAGCUGAGCCAACCUCCAGCCUGCCUCCAGUAUCCGCCGGGAAGACGCUUCCCUCCAACCUUUGGCUCCCAGACAGUUCCACAGAGGACCCUCUGAGGAGCACCCAGCACACCAUCUUUGUCCCAGAAUCCUGGCUGAGCUCCUCCACAGCCUGAACUGUGUGUGAAGGCCCGUCUGUGUGCACUGCAGCUCACUGCCUCUGCUGGCUGGGAGGGCCAUGAUGGUGGGGUCCAUGUUGCAGAGGGCCUGACCCAGAGGCCUCUUAGAAGAAGACGAAGGGGAGAGGCAAGAUGAGUGGGGUUCUUACCGUGCCCGGCCGUGGGUAGGGCAUCUUCCCUGAGAAGGGCAUCCACUGGUAGUUGGGCCCCUCUUUGUGGGCAAAGGGCCCGUUGAAGACCAUGCGAAUAUCAGCCAUGGAGUAGACACACACAGCAGAGCCUCGGAACACGGAGCUGUGGGCACAGGAGGCGCUCUGAGCGGGACGAGUCCCUCCCCAAAUGCCCCCUCCCCACGGCUCACCACCGUGCCAGGGUCCUACACGAGUUAUAAUCCCCCAACGGGGCCACUUCCUGCCACUGCUGGCCCCGAACCCAGCCUCACCCAGAGGAGGUAAAGACAGCGUAAAUGACAGGGUUCCUCACGUCCUGGGUCUGCUGGACAAACACGUCCUCUGGGAACAGAGGGAGAAGGUAUUGGAGGGUGCCUUGGGUGGGAGCCCCUGGGCCUCACCCACUCCUGCACAGGGGAGGGGGCCCACCAAAGGCACCCUGACCACCCAUCCAGCCUCUAUCCCUCUUGCUGUAGCCAGAGCACCCUGCCUGCCUGCUGGGCACUCACGGAGCUCAUCAAAGUGAGUCUCAAUGCCAUCCUCGCCCGGGACGGAGCAGACGAGCCGCGCCUUCAGGAAUGUGCUCCACUUGUUGACCAGGCAACAGUGACCACCGUCAUCAUUCUGAGGGGUGGGGCAAGAGGCCAGGUCAGAUCAGCUCUUGACCCCACACCCUGGCUGAAGCAGGGCUGAUGAAGGCAGAAUUGGUGGAGGAGGCAGCCUGGUGGCUCUGCCAAUGCAUACCAGGCAAAUGCGCCCAAUGCGGGCAUACACAGCGGGGCUCUGUGGCGCCUCUGCCGACCGCUCACGGAAGAAGAAGUAGAGCUUAUCAUCAUUGCGCUCCGCACUGUCAGGAAUGAGCUCAGCAUGGAUGAACGAUGGGUCUGCAGAUAGCAGGGGUCAGCUAGGUGAGCCCCUACUCUGAUGAUGCCCCUGAUGUUCUCCAACAUCCCCAGCCAGGUACAAGAACACCCCCAACUCCUCUCCAGAUAAGAAACUACCCCUGCCCCAGGUAGUCAUAGGCUAAAUAUGUCCCUAAUUCCCCGACAUGUGCUUCUUUGCAACCUCCUUGCCGCAUCCCAGACACAUGGCCAUGGAAGGGCUCCUGGAGCUGCGCUUACCGUUCAGCCACCGGGAGUUGUACUGAUCCGUGCGCAUGGCCGUCUGCUUUCCAAGUGUGCGGAAGAUGGCUGCGUCAGUGCCCAUAAAAUCGAUGUACACACCAGCAUAGAGCUCCUCAUCUGUGGGUGGGCCAGUGGGUCAGUCAGAGGGCUGCUGUUUGCUAGGGCCAGGGCACAGCUCAGAUGACUUCCAGGGCAGGGCCUUAUCUCCCUGCUCAGGCUCCCUGGGGCAUGAUCUUAUCUCCAUGGAGUGCUGGUCAGUGUUUCACCACUGGCUCUGGGGGGGUUGGGAUUAGUAACAGUCAGCUCUGAUUAGUAGCAAUAGCCCAUUUCUGUGGUGUGAAUACUCCUGCCAUGACUAAUUUCAAGCUACCAACCUGAGGUCACUGAAAGCAAAAUCAGGAAGAGCUGUCAACACCACUGUACAGUAUUUCUACCCCACAGACACAACAAAUGUAAAUCACCUCAAGAGCA